GACCUCAAAUCAGGUAGGAUUACCCGCUGAACUUAAGCAUAUCAAUAAGCGGAGGAAAAGAACUAACAAGGAUUCCCCCUAGUAACUGCGAGUGAAGCGGGAAGAGCUCAAAUUUUGAAUCUGACAGUCUUUGGCUGUCCGAGUUGUAAUCUAGAGAAGCGUUUUCCGCGUUGGACCGUGUACAAGUCUCCUGGAAGGGAGCGUCAUAGAGGGUGAGAAUCCCGUCUUUGACACGGACGACCAGUGCUAUGUGAUGCGCUCUCGACGAGUCGAGUUGUUUGGGAAUGCAGCUCAAAAUGGGUGGUAAAUUCCAUCUAAAGCUAAAUAUAGGCGAGAGACCGAUAGCGAACAAGUACCGUGAGGGAAAGAUGAAAAGAACUUUGGAAAGAGAGUUAAACCGUAUGUGAAAUUGCUGAAAGGGAAACGCUUGAUGUCAGUCGCGUUGGCUGGGGAUCAACCUUGCAUCGCUCGGUGUACUUCCUAGUCGACGGGUCAGCAUCAGUUCUGAUCGCUCGUACAAGGUCGAAGGGAACGUGGCACUCUUUGGAGUGUGUUAUAGCCUUUCGUCGUAUGCGGUGUUUGGGACUGAGGAACUCAGCACGAUCUUCGGGUCUGUGCUUAGGAUGCUGGCAUAAUGGCCUUAAGCGACCCGUCU
rnacentral:rRNA from 1 species